GAUGAACGCUGGCGGCGUGCCUAAUACAUGCAAGUCGAGCGAACGGACGAGAAGCUUGCUUCUCUGAUGUUAGCGGCGGACGGGUGAGUAACACGUGGAUAACCUACCUAUAAGACUGGGAUAACUUCGGGAAACCGGAGCUAAUACCGGAUGAUAUUUUGAACCGCAUGGUUCAAAAGUGAAAGACGGUCUUGCUGUCACUUAUAGAUGGAUCCGCGCUGCAUUAGCUAGUUGGUAAGGUAACGGCUUACCAAGGCAACGAUGCAUAGCCGACCUGAGAGGGUGAUCGGCCACACUGGAACUGAGACGCGGUCCAGACUCCUACGGGAGGCAGCAGUAGGGAAUCUUCCGCAAUGGGCGAAAGCCUGACGGAGCAACGCCGCGUGAGUGAUGAAGGUCUUCGGAUCGUAAAACUCUGUUAUUAGGGAAGAACAUAUGUGGAAGUAACUGUGCACAGCUUGACGGUACCUAAUCAGAAAGCCACGGCUAACUACGUG
rnacentral:rRNA from 1 species